rnacentral:rRNA from 1 species
AGAUUGAACGCUGGCGGCAUGCCUUACACAUGCAAGUCGAACGGUAGAGUAGCAAUACUUGAGAGUGGCGAACGGGUGAGUAAUAUAUCGGAACGUGCCCAGUCGUGGGGGAUAACGUAGAGAAAUUUACGCUAAUACCGCAUACGAUCUAAGGAUGAAAGCGGGGGACCGUAAGGCCUCGCGCGAUUGGAGCGGCUGAUAUCAGAUUAGGUUGUUGGUGAGGUAAAAGCUCACCAAGCCGACGAUCUGUAGCUGGUUUGAGAGAACGACCAGCCACACUGGGACUGAGACACGGCCCAGACUACCGUACGGGGAGGCAGCA